UUUUGCUUGCAAACUAAAGAUGGCGACCGGCGCACGGGUGAGUAACACGUAUCCAACCCGCCGAUAACUCGGGGAUAGCCUUUCGAAAGAAAGAUUAAUAUCCGAUAGUAUAUUAAAACCGCAUGGUUUUACUAUUAAAGAAUUUCGGUUAUCGAUGGGGAUGCGUUCCAUUAGUUUGUUGGCGGGGUAACGGCCCACCAAGACUACGAUGGAUAGGGGUUCUGAGAGGAAGGUCCCCCACAUUGGAACUGAGACACGGUCCAA
rnacentral:rRNA from 1 species